rnacentral:lncRNA from 10 species
UACAUAUACAGUUAAUAUAUGUAAAACAUAUGUAUAGUUAUAUAUAAAACAUAGAUAUAGAUGUAGAUAUAGCUUAGGGUAGAAGUGGCUGGAUUUAUUAUCUUACUGAAUGUGGGAUUCCAGAGUGAAGGAAAAGUGAUCUUUGACCCGGAAGUUCGGAGUCAUGGUAAUUUAGAGUAAGUCAGCAUUAUUAACAGAGAGAGGCCAAUCUACUGACAUAAGAAGAACCAGGCACACACACACACUCAAUGCAGACACAGAAUCAUUAUGAAAAGUUUUAUUUCUUCUAUGAGAAAAGCAUUUUUCAAAGAGGAUCACCUAGAUGGGCUAGAGAUUGUGAUAUGGAGACAAUUCUGGAAUCGUCACGCCAGAGGGCUCGGUUGUAUGACCAAGCAUGCUGUCUCUCCUAGGGUACACCAUAGGACAAAAGGAAUGAGUAAAAAAGAACCUAAGAUAUAUUCACAUAGCUGGGCUAUAAUUAUUUAAUAAAUAGAACCAAAAGAGAUCAUAUUUUUAUAUAUUGGGAAGCCACGUAUAGAUAAUUUUAUGUAAAAAGAAAGGGUUUGACUAGCUGGGUCUAUAGGAUGAAAAACCUUGCACUAGAAUUGUGUAUCCUGACUCUCAGUUCAGUUCUCUUUCCAUUGCUUUUAGGAUGUUGGCUGCAAAUACAUCAAAGGCAAAACUGUAAAGAAAAAUUAUAGGAAAAUUUAAAAUACAUGGAAGGGGUAAUAGGAUUGGAAAAUUAUGUUAGAUACUCGUGAGCUAAGUUCUCAAGCGACAUUGUGAGACAUGCAACCCUCCUUUUCUCUGGCUGAACCAACUACUUUCAUUCUUUCAUUCUAGUAGCCACUAGUUAUUUUUGCUAAACUUCUAAUUCUAUCCUAAUUAAAUGGGGUGAAAAUAAGCCACUACCACAUUCAAAGCAGCUUGUGUGUUCUCCUCAUGCUUCUGAACUGGGGGACUGUAACAUUUACAAAAGGCUGGUUUUGCAGUAGGCUUUUCAUGUUCUAGUUAUAUGACCUUAGGCAAGUAACUUGACUCUUCUGGUUUUAUUUUCUUCAACUAUAAAAUUGAUAGGGUAAUAAUAAGAUCAAAUUAUAGGGUUGCUUUUAAGACUAAAAUGAGUAAUAGAUGUAAAGCGCUUAGAAGACUACCUGGCAUAAAAUAAAUGUUCAUUAUUUUCCCCAGAGUUAGAAAGUGUUCUGACUUGAACAAAGCAUUACUCUCCCCUCACAGUGAUCUAUGAGCUAUUUAUAGCUCCAUGUAUUGUACAGUUUCUUCAUGAAACCUUUUUACCACUUUGAUGCCCCACCUUUGAUCAUUUUCCUGCUUAUAGCCAAGAAUACCUGAUAGAAAACAGGUGCAAAUGAGAGAGGAUACAGCCAUAUUUUGUCAUAAAAACUUUCAUUCCUUUUUAAAGCUUUGCAAAUAACUGAUCAAGGAAGCAGUAUAAAUUGAGCAUAUCCCAUAUGCAUGUCGUUGUUUAUCGGUAUAAUUGUUGGUAUAUAUCACUCAGUAUAAUUAAGACACAUUAACAACAUUUUUUUCUCUUUCUUUUCUUGGACUUGGAGCAAAUAUCCAGUAUGCCAAAUUAUACUGAGACCGGGAUGUCUGAUAUAAUUGUAAGAAGUGGAGAGGUAGACCAGUUCUGAGAUUCAUAAUCCAGACUCUGCACUGGAUGAGGACUGAUGCUUCUUGCGUGACCUCCCAAGUAUUUAUUUAUGUAACACCUAUUGAAUGAAGAUGUGUGAAGAUGUAAGGAUGAAAGAAAGGUUCCUCCCUUCAACAGCCUCCAUUCACUCUAUAUAAUGCUAUAUAUCCAUUUAAGCCUGAAUGUAAUUGAAAUCUAAUUCAAUAUUACUCCGGCAAAAAUGAGAAAAAAAAGGGUAGUUUAAUGGAAGAUUAAUUGUGUAGGGGAAGCAAACUAGUCAGUUAUUUUGUGGGUGUUUUUGUGUUCCUUGGAAAGUAUUGUGAGCAAUUAAUUAGUAUGCAGACCUCGUAUUCUCUAGCGGUAUCUUGACUAUAGCUAAAGAAGAAUAAUAUUUGGCAAGAAGUGAUUAUAAAUUAUUUUAAAAAAUCAAACAUAAAAGAAAAGUGAACUUUCUGGUUCCUUAAGUAGGCCUAUGGAGACACAGUGGCAGAGCCAGGUGGAUUAUUCUCCUUGAUUUUCAAAAUCAGUGUUUUAAUGGAGGGCUAAUUACGUAGAAGAGAAGAAAUGAUGGUAUGCAAGAAAAACAAAUUGUAUAGAUAAAAGCUCUUUUUGUGUGUGGUGGGGAGGAGAUUUACACAUUUUGGUGGUAGAUUUGGACAGAACUAGAAUUUCCAUGUAUUUUGGCGUUGGGCAGCAGAACAGCCGAAGUCUUAGUAAAACACACAUACACACAGAGAUGUGCACACACAGGCACACACUCACAGAAACGUGCCUCACACAGCAUUCCUGUUUUUAAAAAACUAUUAAAACGUGCCUGUGUUUCCCUCUAUUGUCCUUCUUGGUACCUCUUUCUUCCUUUUUUUUCUCCUUCCUCCCUUCCUUUCCUUUUUCCCAUUUAGGCUGGAAACGACUCUUUCUCUAUUGAAAAACCUUCACAACUGCGGUCAUUUCACAUGCAACUCAGGUCCUUAGUUUCAGACCAUCUGCUGCCCUCUUGUGGCCAUACAAUCCACCUAUCCAUGCCCCAACUCUAAGACCCUGAUGGUUUUUGUCAGUUGAAAUGUUUUUUUCUCAGAUGAAACGGACAUCUCAAAUUAUAAAAAAGCUAUUUUUACUGUCAUAUAUUACACCAUUAUCUUCUAAUACACUUCUCUAAAGUAUGUAAAAAAUAUAUAAUGUUUGUAAUCGUAUUAAAGACAACAUAUUCCUAUACAUCAUGGAGUGAUUGUUAUAUCUUUCAGGGAUAUUUGAAAGUAGCGCAUUUCACUCAUUCAUGUGGAGUCUUCACCUGAUGGAUGCCUCAUUCUGUGAAUAAACUGGCGGUGUUGAUCUACAGCUGUAUACAGACCACAUCUUUCUUCUAAAGCUGCAAGGCACACAUUUAAACUCAAAUCUCAGAGAUUGCAACACCUAGAUUGCAGUACAAAUUGGUAUGACCGACCAGACCCAGCAACCAUCGAUCUUCAUUCUUCCUGCCACCCUGAAAACUGAAACCUUUUGUAGCAAGAGGUAACUAAAAUUCUGAAGUCGGCUUGCAAUAAAGGGAAGCAACAACUUUAAGAUUGGACUGAAAUAUCUGACAGCUCUCUGAAACAAAACAAAAACAAAAUGUACCCAGGUUUCAGUUACGCUCUAUUUGGUUUCUUUUCUUGUUAAAUAAGUGCUGGCAUAUAACUCAUUAGACACCUUGUGGGCCGCCCCACAAAGAUGUGGGCAGUUCAAUUUAGAGUAAGUGGGAGGUGUAUAAUUCAGAGUUUACACUUCUAGAUAAAUCAGGCUUCAGCAUGAGAUUUUUGCCAUAUACUUCAGAUAAUCUUAUUUCCCUAGCUGCUGGCUCAAAUUUGAAUUUAAACAGAAAUACAAACAAUACAUAGAGGGGGGAAAGUUUUCCAAUAACAAUUUCCAUUAAUAAUGAAAAUUUGUUUGAGGAAGUAAACACCUCUUAGAACUUGUUUUCCUGAUUCAUUCCUUCAUUUUGGAGUAGACAGGAAAACUAUGUCCUUAUCUAGGAGGCUGAAGGCAGAUCAUCUGUUUGGUCUAUUCUCAAGUGGUUCUAAAACCUUUUUAACUAGUCUUGGAGACAUGUUUAACUGUUGGUCAGAGAAUGUGCUUUUACUAGAAAGAGCUUCAGCAGAUUCUCUCUUCUUGGUGUCUAGUGAUUUCUGCCCAACCCUUGGCCUUUCCUGGGACAGUUUGUGCUCAAACUGGAUGAUCACAUGUCUCCAAGUGUAGCUUGACCUAAGUCUGUUUAAUGGGUAGACAGGGCAUUAGAAGUGGUUGCGGAUUUUUCUUCUAUCAGAAAAAUAUAUAUUAAAAACAAAACAGCAACAAUAAAAAGUACAAGACAAAAACAAGCAAACAAACAAACAGAAAACUGGAGUAUCUCUCAUUUGAGAAAUAUCCCUUCUCCCUCAAGAUGAUUAGAAUUCUGUGGCAUAUAGUUUCCACAGUUAUCAAGAUGAGGUUUACUAUUAGGCCUCAACAGACAAAAUAACACCACAACACACUGCUCUUUGCCAACUAUAUGGCCAAAGAUUUACAAAUGAAUAACUAUUUCACUCAAUGCUAAUUAUGGUAUGAUGGUACUAGCAUUCUCAUUCCCAGCUGUUGCUAGUUGUGGUAGACUAUUUGCAACAAAUGACAGAAGUUCCCUUACUUGAAAGAAUCCCCCCUUGCCAUGUAAUUUUGCAAAUCCCCUCAUCAACAGAUGGAGUAUCCUUGCCCUUCUCUUUAACCUGGGCUGGCCUUGUGACUUUCUUUGACCAACAGAGUGUGGUGGAAGUGAUUCUUGACCCAGACAUAAUGACACUUUUAUGUCUGCAUAUAACAUCAUGAGAAGCUUUCUUGCUCUUAUUCUGCCCUUGUCUGUAGUGGAGAAUCAUCUGUUAUUGCUAUUUGAGAUCACAAGUCAUUACCUUCCUGAGGAAUGGACUCUGUUAUUAAAUUCACUCUCAUCUUUCUGAUUUAGAUUUCUCCUAAUACUGAUUUCUCCUAAUCCUCCCUCAGAAAGACUGAUUUCUACUGCUUAAUUCUAGGCACAGCUUACUUUCAGAAUACACAUUUUGACCAAACUCUUCAUAAACUGUGUAGAACCAGACAAGGGUGGGGUAAGUAAAUAAAACAAGGCGCUUAGAUUGGAUGCAAUAUUUAAGGGGCACCAAAAACGCAAAAGUCAAGAGAAAUAAUAGUUUAAUGCAGUAUUAUAAAAAAUCAAAAUCAAUGCAAAAGUCCAUAAUGAACACACUAUCAGAAAUUUAAACAAAGACAUGAUGAGUAUGGAACCAUGUAAGAUGGAUUUGGGCUAAAUAUAUCUAAGUUAAAUUUCUUUACUUUGACAGUUGUUACUUGUGAGGCCUCAGAAAAUUUAUAUUCUCCAAAUCUCUGUUUUGUCAUUUGCAUAAUGGAACUAUUAUUUUCUGUGGGUUAUUUAAAAGAGUAAAUAAAAUAAGGCAUAAACUACUUAGCCUGUUCUUACCACAUAUUACUACCCAGUGUUAAUGAUUUGUC